ACAAAUCUAAUGAAACAAAAUUCGAUUAUUACCGACAUUAUCUGAAUGAAUUCUACUUGUUUGUCUGGUACAACAAGUUGUGUAUAUUAGUAGGAUUUUUUUUGUUCGAUUGACUGUUCAUUGUAAUUUUAAUCGCAAAUUUAUUAACACACAAGUUGGAGAAUUUGUUUUUUUUUGGUGUGCAAAGCAGUAACUAAUUAACAUAAUGUCGGAUAUAGAAUGUGAUGAUUGUUCAUGUUUCGAUUGUGGAGAUAGCGGUAAUACGGAUAAUGAGGAAGUUGUGGAUUGUUGCGUUAAUUGUUGCAUUUGCUUGUGUCCCGAUACGACUUUAAAAGGAGAUAGACAUGACGAAAACUGUUGCGCUUGGGUGACUGCAACUCUAAUGGCAAUCAUUGUCAUCAGUAUUAUCGUAGUUGUCACCAUAACCCACUCGUAAUAAAGCUGUGUCGAUCUAACUAUUUUCAAAUGAUCAAUUUUUUAUAUCUAUAUGUACAUUAGGAAAAUAAAAUUUAAAAAAUUUUCGAAAUUUUUAAUCCAUUCAUCCAUUUCACAUAGAGUAUAAAAAAUAUAUAUUACUUUUCCUCGAGCUUUAAAAAAAAUUUCGACGCAAAUACUUUAAUGUUUUCGAUAUCUACUUUAAAUCUAAUUCUAAAUUUAUUAAUACAAAAUCGGAAAUUAUUAUUGUUCUAUCCACUACAAUUAAGUCAAACAAUUAUUUUAUAAUCUCUUUGAAUUCCGAAAAUAAAUCUGUAUUAAGUGAAAAGGUUAAAACUUUAUAUUCAAGUAGACUGACAAGACUUUCAGAUGACAACAAAGGUGUCUUUCGCAUUGUUUAAGCAGUUAAAUAUAGAAAAAAUAUGGACUUGUCAGAUUUAAAGGCAUGAUAUAUCAUAAAGUCUGAUUUUAUAAGAAAAUCAUGAGGGCAGAUUCGAAUUUAACAAUGAUCAAUCCUUCAGAAAUGUUUACUCUGAUCUCUGGGCGAAAACUUUGUUGGCCUGUGUUAUCAGUAUAUCAUUACGAUAAAAAUAACCAGACAUUGUAACCAUGAAAAAAUCAUUAAUCUUAGAACAAAAUGUCGGACGGAGGAUGUGAUACGACUUGUUGUGAUAGCGGUGGAGGUUUUGACAGUGGUGGCGCAUGUGACACGGUUUGCGGCGAUAGUGGCGGAGGUGGUGGUGAAAGUGGUACUUGUCAUACAUCCGAUAAUACUGUUAACGAUAAUAGCGCCACAUAUGAUAUUGCCAAUAGUAAUGAUCCAAGUAUUUUUCAUAAUUUCCACCAUGAUCCCACAUUCGGUGUUGCAUCAAAUAAUUUUGAUGAUAGUUAUCAUAAUUUCAAUAAUAAUUCAGAAAACGUUAAUAAUAAAACAAAUAAAUCGUCUUGCUGGGGUUGUUGUUUUGGAGCGUUUAUUUUUAUAUUUUUAUUAGUCAUUGGAUUCAUUAUGAUUAACACUUUAUAACCCAUGUUUUCAGAUUUUUUUUAGAUAAAAAUAAUAUUAAAAAAUUGUAAUUGUUGUUUUAUUCACAAUUUUUUAUUCAUUUUAUGAUUGUAGAAAAAAAUUUAUUGAUCUAAAAUUUUAGUAACAUUUGUAACGUUAAUUUAGUUUAAUAAAAACAAAUAUCUGGCAACUUUUUGUAUGUUGCAUUGGCUAAGUGUUAUUAUUCAUUACACAUGACAUUUUUCUUAAAAUCUCUUCUUCCUCUCUCUUCGGAAAUUUAUUUCAUAUAAACAAGUUACAUAUAAUAUUAAUAAUCAAGUCCCUAUAACCAACGUUCGAUUGAAUUCAAUUUGUUUGUUAGUUUCAUAGUAAAACUUUUGUUCGAUCAGUUGUUUGCAAUCAGUCGCCAAACUUAUUAAAACUCAUGUUCGAGAUUCAUUUUUUGUAAAACAUUAGUUAGAAAAACAUAAUAACCAAUCAAAAUGUCAGAUUGUGGAUGCGAUAGUGGUGGAGGAUUUGAUAGUGGCGGUUGUGAUGACGGUGGAGGAUUUGACAGCGGUAUUUGUCAUACGUCAGAUCAUACAUCUUAUGAUAUGACCACCAAUAAUGAUUCAAAUUUUUUCCAUAAUUAUCACAAUGAUUCCUCUUACGACCAUUCAUUCGAUAAUAGUAAUUCUAACAAUAGUAAAUCACAGGAAUCACAAUGCUGUUCAAAUUUUGCGUAUGGAAUAUUUUGCUUGACGUGGUUUACCGCUUUUAUAUUUAUUUUAUAUAAAAUAUUCGCAAUGUGAUAUUGUGGAAAUUGGUUUUAUAAAGGAACAUUAAAAAUAAGUUUAAAUGUUUUAGUUUUUUACCACCUUAAGAAUUCAUUAUUGAAAUUAAUAAAUAUUAAAAUAAUGCAUCAUA